GAUGAACGCUGGCGGCGUGCCUAAUACAUGCAAGUCGAGCGAACGGACGAGAAGUUUGCUUUUCUGAUGUUAGCGGCGGACGGGUGAGUAACACGUGGAUAACCUACCUAUAAGACUGGGAUAACUUCGGGAAACCGGAGCUAAUACCGGAUAAUAUUUUGAACCGCAUGGUUCAUAAGUGAAAGAAGGUCUUUCUGUCACUUAUAGAUGGAUCCGCGCUGCAUUAGCUAGUUGGUAAGGUAACGGCUUACCAAGGCAACGAUGCAUAGCCGACCUGAGAGGGGGAUCGGCCACACUGGAACUGAGACACGGUCCAGACUCCUACGCGAGGCAGCAGUAGGGAAUCUUCCGCAAGGGGCGAAAGCCUAACGGAGCAACGCCGCGUGAGUGAUGAAGGUCUUCGGAUCGUAAAACUCUGUUAUUAGGGAAGAACAUAUGUGUAAGUAACUGUGCACAUCUUGACGGUACCUGAUCAGAAAGCCACGGCUAACUACGUG
rnacentral:rRNA from 1 species